rnacentral:rRNA from 1 species
AUACGUAGGUGGCAAGCGUUGUCCGGAAUUACUGGGUGUAAAGGGAGCGCAGGCGGGCAGACAAGUUGGAAGUGAAAAUCAUGGGCUCAACUCAUGACCUGCUUUCAAAACUGUAUGUCUUGAGUGGUGCAGAGGUAGGCGGAAUUCCCGGUGUAGCGGUGGAAUGCGUAGAUAUCGGGAGGAACACCAGUGGCGAAGGCGGCCUACUGGGCACUAACUGACGCUGAGGCUCGAAAGUAUGGGUAGCAAACAGGAUUAGAUACCCUGGUAGUCCAUACCGUAAACGAUGAUUACUAGGUGUGAGGCGUUACACACGCUUUGUGCCGCAGUUAACACAAUAAGUAAUCCACCUGGCGAGUACGACCGCAAGGUUGAA